rnacentral:piRNA from 1 species
GCAGGAGUGCUAAAGUGGGGCUGU